CAGAGGGUGCAAACGUUGUUCGGAAUUACUGGGCGUAAAGCGCGUGCAGGCGGCCUUGCAAGUCGGACGUGAAAUCCCACGGCUCAACCGUGGAAGUGCAUUCGAAACUGCGAGGCUGGAGUCCUGGAGAGGAAAGUGGAAUACUCGGUGCAGAGGUGAAAUUCGUAGAUAUCGAGUGGAACACCGGUGGCGAAGGCGGCUUUCUGGACAGGUACUGACGCUGAGACGCGAAAGCGUGGGGAGCAAACAGGAUUAGAUACCCUGGUAGUCCACGCCGUAAACGAUGAGUGCUAGGUGUCACGGGCUUUGACCCUCGUGGUGCCGAAGCUAACGCGUUAAGCACUCCGCCUGGGGAGUACGGCCGCAAGGCUA
rnacentral:rRNA from 1 species